CAAGACUGCAGCUGUUUCAUUGCCAGUUGUGAGGAGGAAGCAGCUUCAUAGCCAGACAUCAGACGCCUUCCAGCAGUUCCUCUUUUCAGCAACAGAGGCCUUGGUUGCCAUUCUACCUGUGCUGCAUUGUGUGGCUGACCACUCCAAGGAUCUCAGCAGAACCAUUACACAGCGCACAAAAAGCUUGUCGCUGAAGGAGUAAAGGUGAUUGUCUUCCUGGCGCUGCGUGGGUGAUCUGUUCCUUGGGCCGGUUGUCCUCCUGCCCUCGGCGUCGAGCCACCGAAUACGUAACAGCUGGUGGCAGUGGUGAUGGCGGAUGGAGCACACGUCGGCGGUGGCCUUGGCGUCC